rnacentral:lncRNA from 1 species
CCUUGAACCCAUUCUAUUUUCUUGGAUUCUAAAUCCUCACCUUUGGUCUUAAUUUUAGUCCUCUAUGGUAACCAUGGUUUCAGAAUCCUUCUUUCAAUUACUAUCAGCAGUUGCAUAAAGGAGAUGUUGGCUUUAGUCUCUUAAGCCCCAUCUGAAAUUUCUGCAGUGGUUUGGGAGCAACUCACUUUUAAAGUGAACUUCAGAUCCUGCUUUCAAAGGCACACAGUGGCUGUCAGAGCUGAGCAGUUUCAUUUUCAGGCCACUCAACGUGGCAAAGAGCUCAGGUCUAAACAGCCUUUGCCCAGGUGUGGAACCAUCUCACCUUGCCUGACUUAACUCCUCCCUGCUGGCCUCCUAGCCUCGGGCUGCUUUAACUCCAUUGUAUUUGUCAAGAAAAUGCAUUUUCCAAGCCUGCCUCAUGAACCUUGUGUCUUCUGGGUUUCCAUAAUCCUCUGGGUUAAGCACACACUUCUGACUGUGACCACCUUAACUUCUGAACUGCUAGCUCUUCCAGUCAUUCUGGGGCUCCCCUGCAAACCUUCUUUGCUUCUCCCCCUCUUUCCACCCAGGCAAAUUCUUCA